rnacentral:rRNA from 1 species
GUGGGGAAUCUUCCGCAAUGGACGAAAGUCUGACGGAGCAACGCCGCGUGAGUGAUGAAGGUCUUCGGAUUGUAAAGCUCUGUUAAUCGGGACGAAAGAGCCUAGUGUGAAUAAUGCUAGGAAGUGACGGUACCGGAAUAGAAAGCCACGGCUAACUACGUGCCAGCAGCCGCGGUAAUACGUAGGUGGCAAGCGUUGUCCGGAAUUAUUGGGCGUAAAGCGCGCGCAGGCGGAUCUGCCAGUCUGUCUUAAAAGUUCGGGGCUUAACCCCGUGAUGGGAUGGAAACUACAGAUCUAGAGUAUCGGAGAGGAAAGUGGAAUUCCUAGUGUAGCGGUGAAAUGCGUAGAUAUUAGGAGGAACACCAGUGGCGAAGACGACUUUCUGGACUGUAACUGACGCUGAGGCUCGAAAGCCAGGGGAGCGAACGGGAUUAGAAACCCCAGUAGUCC